rnacentral:rRNA from 1 species
UAGGGAAUCUUCCGCAAUGGACGCAAGUCUGACGGAGCAACGCCGCGUGAGUGAAGAAGGUUUUCGGUUCGUAAAACUCUGUUGUUAGAGAAGAACAGCGCAUAGAGUAACUGUUAUGCGUGUGACGGUAUCUAACCAGAAAGCCACGGCUAACUACGUGCCAGCAGCCGCGGUAAUACGUAGGUGGCAAGCGUUGUCCGGAUUUAUUGGGCGUAAAGCGAGCGCAGGCGGUCAAUUAAGUCUGAGGUGAAAGCCCCCGGCUCAACCGGGGAGGGUCAUUGGAAACUGGUUGACUGGAGUGCAGAAGAGGAGAGUGGAAUUCCAUGUGUAGCGGUGAAAUGCGUAGAUAUAUGGAGGAACACCAGUGGCGAAGGCGACUCUCUGGUCUGUAACUGACGCUGAGGUGCGAAAGCGUGGGUAGCAAACAGG